AUGGGCAGGGGCUAAGUGUACAAAGAACACUCACACAUGUGCUUUAUGCAUAUAGCAAUCAAAUUGCCACGACAUGGCCCGACCAAGUUAAGUGGGAGCAAUAUGUGGAUGAAUUGAGUUGCCUUCCUCCUAAUUUUUGCAUCAAGGGAAGUAAUGUGUGGAGGUCGAAAGUUCCACUUAUAUUUUUUUGGCUUGUAGAGUUUCACCUACCAGAUCGUGUCCUCCAACAAUUUGGGCUAAACCAGGAACAACCUGAAGAUGUUGAUACUAAUCGCAAAUUGCAUAAAAUAGAUGCGAGGGGCAAAGUAGAAAAAAAUUGGAGGGUGAAACAUGCAGUCCAUAUUCAGAAAUGGAAUGAUUGUUCUGAGUACGUCUGUCAUGCAUAGAGGAUAGAGGAGGUGAUGUCACGUCAUCAUCCAUAUAUGAUGUGGUAUCGUAGGAUCACUCGACUGUAUAUCGACCGCGAUAAUGCUAAAAUGGAAAUUUUGAUUGCCAACCAACUGGCUGUCCUUAGCUGGUUCAAUGAGGACUUUGAAGAAUACAAGUUCAUCAAGAAAGCCCUUAAGGAUGUGGAUCGCAUAGAUGUGCCAGCCAAUGAUGAAGCAGCAAGCCACACUGAAACACCAGAUGUAAGGCCCAUAUGAGCUUAGCUGCUCUAGUGCAUACAUGUCGUCAAUGUGCCCCCAAUCCUUAUCUUGCCAUUGAGACCCCUGAUCCACCCUUGUCCACCCUUUAUGACACAACCGGGCCCCUCAUGCCACCCAUCUCUCCCAUUGACACCGAAUCUCUCUUGUGGUUCACCCAUGCUGAAUUUGAGUCCUCCCCACACACACCACCAUUGACCAUAACUCGCCCAUGGCCCCGUCCUAUAGCUCCCCCCUAGAUAGUUAUACCCACCCCCUUCCUUCAAACACCCCAAGUUGAGAAAAUGUCUACUAGUCCGUGUCAUACACAAUUGCCUCCUACCUCCUUCUUUCCCUUGAUAUAUGUUGCACAAGCAACGCAACCACAUGAUGGACACGUUGAGCAGGAGCAACGUGAUCAAGUUGAGCAGCCACACGAUGCAAACGAUCACGCUCCACCUAAACGGAAAUUGACUCGCACCAUCCAACGAAAGAGAUGCGGCAUAGGUUCCCACCUGGUUACAGCUCCAAAUGAGUUAUUAGAGCAGGUUGCAGCUCCAAUUGAUAGAAACGCUCACCCUACAACCAAACAGUACACUAGAUGCGACCAGAAAAGAAGUAAACAAGGGGAGGGUGCAGCCUAAAGAAGAUAUUUUUUGAAAAGGAGGAUAAGUUGCCCUAUUCUUUCUAUAUAUCAGAUAAGGAGCUUGUUGUACCUCUUGGCACUUACUUAGAGAAAAAAAAAGAUAACUUGCUGGAAAGGUUGACUAGGAAGAUGAAGGAAUGGUUUCAUUUGGAAUGCGGCUUCUUUCCAGGGGUGCAGUCUGAGGAAUACGGAGUACAUUUUUGGGGCUGUUGUUUUUACAGGACACUAAACAAAGUUUAAUGCUAGUGGACAGUUUUGUGAGGUAGCUGAAAUGGUUGGACCAAAAUGACUUUGAAAAGAACGCAAAUUACUGGCAGCAAGAUAGAUGGGGUGGGCAGUUAAUUACUGGCAGCAAGGAUAAGGAAAUUCAAGAAUUGACUGCUGAGUUGGAGAAUGCAAGCCAGCAAUGUGAAGCACAUCGAGAAUUGAAUAGAAAGAUGUCCUGGAUAUGUAUUGGACCUUCAACCUAGUAAAUCCUUUUGGGAUUUUUCUUUUUUUAAAAAAAAAUUUGUUGAUGUACUUGAAUAGAAUUGAUUAGCUAUGCUUAAUGGGAUAUUAAUAAAGUGUGAAGGCCUCAUAGUUCAGGAUUUAAAACCCCCAUCCCCAUGACAGUGUAUUG